UCUUAGCAUACAAGCAUUUCCCUUACUCACUGAAGUUCUGAUUUUCUCUUUGUUUUAUCCUCAUAUUAUAUACAUUAUAUAUUUGUACCCUUUCUUUCCUUUGCUUCACCUAUACUUUGUUUGUGUUUGAGUUUAUCCAGUUGAUUUUGUCAGAUACAGUUAGUUGGGCACUCAAUAAUUCUGUUCGUCUUAGCAUACAAGCAUUUCCCUUACUCACUGAAGUUCUGAUUUUCUCUUUGUUUUAUCCUUAUAUUAGUAUACAUUAUAUAUAUGUACCCUUUCUUUCCUUUGCUUCACCUAUACUCUUGUCUCUCUAAGUUAUAUUUUCAGUUCUGCUUUUGAACCAAUUGACUAAGCAUUUUUUUGUAAUACCAAGAACUAAACUUUUUCCGUUUGUCUUCAUGCUUAUUUGAGAAUAAGCUGGUGUUUUCUUCUCAAAUCUAUGUGGUAUUUUCCAAGAUCAAAUCUUUACGAGGUUUUAAGUUGUUUUAUUAAAGUAGAUUCCAAAAGGGACUCUUAUUUGAGGUGUUUUCUUUAUUUGGCUUUAAUGGAUGUUUCUUGUGAUCUUGAAGUGGAUGUCAAUGGUGAAGAAAUCUUUAUUGUUGAUAAGGAAAAUUUUCUUUCUUUCUUUCUUUUUGCUUUCUGCUUCUUCUCUUUUGUCUUUGUAAAAUAAGAACAAGCUCUGCAUUUCCUCUCCCUUUUCUUUUUUGUUUCUCAGUUAUGUUAUUCUGUUUUUUAGUUCUAAUUCUCAGUUCUUGGGUUGUUUUCUCCUCUAUUUUCUCCAAGUUCUUUCUUUUUGUGCGUGCAAAAUCAUAGUUUAGCCCGAGACUAUGAUUUUACAUGAGCUACUAACUGUAAGAUUGUAAAUUCUUGCCUUGUUUCUGUUAUGUGAUAUUCUUGUGCAUUAAGUUCUGAUAAUUUGUUAGAUUUUCCUUGGUUUGCAUAGAAGAAUGAUGUGACUCCUUUUAUGUUUUAGGUAGUUGGUUUCUUCAGCACUGUUAUUUAGUCUAUUAAAUGAUAACUAUAAGUUUUAGCCAAUGUGAAUAUGAAAAUGUUAGGGGUAUACUUUUUCUGUAAUAAUACUACUACUGUUCAUUACUGAAUGAUUGGGACUCAUUGGGUACAUGUAUUUUGUUGUUUUCAAAGUUGAGUUGCUUAGACUAAAAUGAGAUUGUGUACUUGAAAACAAGUAUGUGUAAGAGGAUAUGAAUGUGACGUGCUUUAGUGUCGCUAUUAGUAUGUUGGAUAUUAUUCUACGGUGAGUUGAUAUGUUGGCUUUUCUUCUACGUGAACUCCUGCUUUUCUUUUAUUGCUCGCAGGUAUCCCGAAGCCCAAGCGUUACGAGAAAUUCCAGAACUCAAUUCAGUCAGCACUUACAUCACAAGCACGACCAACACCUUCAGGUCAGGUUGCAGCAUAUUUGAUUCUGUCUGAUCAGACCACAACAUAGCAGGUUCCAUCUAUUCGGGCUGCGUCACAACACCCACUAUCUAGAAAGUGUAAUGGACAUGUGUCUACGCAACAUUGAACUGUAAAUGCAAUAGGUAUGUUAUUGCCAUCAACUGUAUAGUAGGAUCAACUGUGCUGGCCAUGCAACCUCUGGAUUCCAGUUAAUAACCCUUUUAGAUCCAAUUGUGUAUGUUGUUAGAAGUUUUUGGUUUUGUGCUCGUUGUUGAUUUGACUAAGUUUCUUAUCUAACAUGAAUAUUUGAGUUUUUUGGAGGAACUGUUGCAUGGCUCACUCGGUUAAUAUCAUGGUGCUAACUAUUACCCUAUCCAGAUCAAAGUUGUCCUCGUUGUGUAGAGCUGAAGUGUGAUCUAAAUAGUUUUCUUGAAGUUGUCUGCUCGAAUUUUAUUAGGUUCUAUUUUUAUUUAUUUCCUCAAAUAUUCUGAACAACUCAAUCGGGUUGUGAGGAUUAAAGGGUGCUGACCAAAGUUCUGGCCGUCCUUAGGCUUACAGUUUUAAGCGUGCCAAGUACUUUGUUAUCCUUUCCUUAUUCAAUUCAUGUUGGGCCAUUAUACUUUAUUAUUCUUCUACUUGGAGAAAAUCUUAUGUAUUUGUGCUAUCUCACAUUGUUUUUAUAUUUUAAGAUUCACAAGGAGCUAGCAAGAUACUUAAAGUGAAGAAAAGGGGCGUGUUAAAUUUAUCUAAUGGAGAACGUUUUGUGGUUUAUUUUGACGACACGGAUUCUCCCAUUGGUGAAGGACAAGGCGUUUUUGCAGGCUUUUGUGGAAUUUUAGCAACCGAUUGCUCCAUUUUUCCAAUUCACUUUGAGAAAUGGAAGAAUUUACCUGUGACAAUCUUCAACCGUUGUUAUGAACGAUUUAUAAAGGUAUUCCUGAGGCAUACAAUAUCUCUAUUUUUAUGUCAUUAGAUUGUAUAUUUGUAUGUAAUAAUUAUAUAACCAUUGGUUUAUUCUUGAAGCCACGAUUUUGUUUUAGGACAACUGAGUCAAAUGCAAGACCAUAUGUUUAUAAUUCUAUGUGUAAGAAGUGGGGCGCAAAAAGGCUAAAGUUGUUUGAUAAGGUCUAUGAUCCACUUAAGAGCAGAGCUGAGAUACUGGAUAGUGUUCCACCGGGGAUUCCACCGGAUCAAUAGAUUUCUUAUGUUGAUUACCGCUUUAAAGAAAAAACACAGGUUUUAUUUCAAUGCUUCAAUUAGUAUGUGUAAUUAUAUGGCUUCACUUUAACCAAUCUUCAUCCAUGCUAACGUUUUCAAGCUUUUCCAACAACAUCGACUUGACUUAAACUUAAUUUUCAGAUUCGAAAUUCGAGAUCACUUCUUCAAACUUGUAAUAAUGGUGAAUAGUUGCAAACUUUAAUUUGUUCUAGCUAGAAUAUUUCAGAACUAUUUGAUGAUUUAUUGUACAACCAACAGGCCACUACCAUGUGCAAUGAGACCUAACAGGUGAAGAACAUAAUGAAAAUUGAAACUGAAGAUAAACUUGUUCAUUAUAGCAAAGUACACAGCCCAUGCUACAUAGUUUUUGAAUGUGUGAGUUAUAAUUGUAAAAUAGUAGGAACUUGUAUGACUAACCUGGAAGGUUGCUGUUGCUCUAUGCAUGGAGAAAAAUCAGGUAGAAGAAAGUGAAGCCCUUUACUUGAUUCACCUUCAAAAUACUCAUUCUUAAUUUUCUUAUUGGAUUUCCUUCUCUUUCUUUCAACCAAGAAUGCAGAACCUAGAGCAGUUGUGAUAAAAACUCCACCGAACAAAAUGACACUAGCAAUACCACUGCCGUUUUUGCUUGAGCUUAUUUUCAUCAUCAGUUUUUGAUUCUGCAUGCUGAUUUGAUUGUUCUGUGAUAUUUUCUUGGUAUCUUUUUGUAAGGAAACUUGUAAAAGAAAUGCUGAAAUUCGAAAGAAACAAACUGUUUUACAUAUUGGUGGCUCCAAACCUAACUCCAGAAGAAGGGCUGAAAAGAUGGCUGAGACUGGACAAAAGCCUGGACGAGGACAGCUUUAUCUCGCUAUACAUAGGAAUGAAGAUGGAUCAUAUGUUAAUGAGGCGGCAAAAGAGAUAUGUGUAAGACAUAUGGAGCCCCAGUUGUCAUGACCCAAAAUCCAUUAUAGGUCGUGAUGGCGCCUAUCGUCGCAGUCAGGCAAGCCAACGGUGAUUUAUCAAUUUAAUUACCCAUUUUAUUACUUUCGAAAUCAUAGAUUUUAAUCAAUAAGGAGAUUUACACUUCUAAAUCCAUGGGAACGUACAACGUUUGUAGUGUAUAAAAAAAAUGAAAGGCGAUAAUAAUAUACGAAACCGUAAGCAUCAACUAGUAUAACCCCAAAAUCCUGUGUCAC